rnacentral:tRNA from 1 species
GGCCCGUUCGUCUAUCGGUUAGGACGCAUGGUUUUCAUCCAUGUAAGAGGGGUUCGACUCCCCUACGGGCUA